rnacentral:rRNA from 1 species
GAUGAACGCUGGCGGCGUGCCUAAUACAUGCAAGUCGAGCGAACGGACGAGAAGCUUGCUUCUCUGAUGUUAGCGGCGGACGGGUGAGUAACACGUGGAUAACCUACCUAUAAGACUGGGAUAACUUCGGGAAACCGGAGCUAAUACCGGAUAAUAUUUUCAACCGCAUGGUUCAAAAGUGAAAGGCGGUCUUGCUGUCACUUAUAGAUGGAUCCGCGCUGCAUUAGCUAGUUGGUAAGGUAACGGCUUACCAAGGCAACGAUGCAUAGCCGACCUGAGAGGGUGAUCGGCCACACUGGAACUGAGACACGGUCCAGACUCCUACGGGAGGCAGCAGUAGGGAAUCUUCCGCAAUGGGCGAAAGCCUGACGGAGCAACGCCGCGUGAGUGAUGAAGGUCUUCGGAUCGUAAAACUCUGUUAUUAGGGAAGAACAUAUGUGUAAGUAACUGUGCACAUCUUGACGGUACCUAAUCAGAAAGCCACGGCUAACUACGUG